UCACACUUACUUUGUACUAAGUCUAUGUUGUACAGUAGAACGUUAACAAUCAAGUAAACUGCUAACAACGCAAACAUUUUUUAGCAUUUCGUGUUUAAUUUCGAGUGUUGUAUAGAUCGUUACAUUGCGCACAAAAUAUAAGGACACAAUCAUGUGUGCACGCAGGUACAUAGGUAAUUGUGAUCCCAAUCAGAAGUUUAAUGUGGAAAUAACAGCAUUGGUUCUGCUAUUAUUCGAAAGGAUUGCGGGGAUUAUCAGGAGCAAAAACAAAUUUACACAAUCCGACAAUAUACAAUAAUAAUAUUAUCCAUAAACUGGAAAUCUGCGGUUGAUUAAAACAUUUCAAACAAAGGCUAGUUUCAUUUCCGUCAACCAGAGCAAUUUGUUAUAUCGGAGAAUGAACAAUGCGGUAGACGUGGAAAAUUGGACAUCCUUUGUCGACGACUCAGACUGAUAACCUGGAAAGAACAAUGAGAGGAAUUUAGAAAGAUAGAAUGGUCCGUAGAUUACGACGCUGCGAUCAGAUGCUAUUUAUUUCUUUUAAUUUACGAGAUAUUCGUGAUUGAAAAAAAUGGUCAAAAAUUGAAAAAUGUCACUUUUUCGCAGUUUUAGUUGCGUUUUUUGACCUUUUCCUGUAGGAAAUAUAAUUAUUUUAUAUUUUUAUCUGAUAGAGAAUUUUCCAAUUUUUCAUAAUCAACAAUUCGUUGGUAGCUCUCGUUUUUAGUUUAAGAGAUAUUAAUUAUCAAAAAUCGUCGAAAAAAAGUAUCAAGCACCCCCCCUUGGCAAUUUUUUCUUAAGGGGGUAUUCUGCUCUAGGGGUUUCAAAAAAUCGAUUUUUUUUUUCUUAAAUAUUUUGAAAGUUUAACUAUUCAAGAAUACGUGUACAAGAGGAUUUUUCAAAAUUUAAAUUAUUUUUCGAGAUAUAGCCGUUUUGGUGACGCGGCAUCCAUACUGGUUCGCAUUGACGCGAAACUUUAAACGUGUUUUUCUCGAAACUGUAUUUUUCGAGCCCACGAUUUCUCAACUUCUACUGAACCGAUUUACUUGAAAUUUUUACAGAGUCUUCUUUAUGGACUUUUCUUUAAAAUGAACUACGCUUAUCCCCAAAUUCCGAUUUUAAAUAUUCCAAAAAAAAAUCUAGAAUAUCAAAAAAUAAGGGUAAAAAAAUCACUAUUUUUUCAAACAGUCGCCAUUUUGUGAAAAACUUUUUUUUUCACUUGUCCGUAGUUCAUAUGAUUGCGACAUUAUUCUAGAUUAAUAAUUAAUUAUUCUAGAUUAAUUCAGAUCACUUGGAGGGCUAAAAUCAUGGGUACGGUCACGUGCCAAUUUUUUGGGACCUCCCACUUUAUCACCUGCUGGAAUUUAAAAUUUUGAACUUUUUUCAGUUUUUAUUUUUUUUUGUAUUCUCAAAACAUUAAUAAAUAAGUGUUAAAAAAAUGGAUAGUAAAAAUAUUAAUUAAUUUUUUUUACGGCCUUUCAAAAAUCACAUGAAAUUCAUGCCUCUAGAGUAGAAUACCCCCUUAAGAAUGAAAAUUUCAUCUCUCAGAUUUCCCUUUUAACUAACCUAUCUUAUAGAGAAUAGUCCAUAGGUUAAGACGCUGCGACCAGAUCCUUAUUAUCUCUUUUAGUUUACGAUAUAUUCACGAUUGAAUAAAACGGGCAAAAAUUGAAAAAUGUCACUUUUUAGCACUUUUAGUCGCAUUUUUUGACCUUUUACUGUUGGAAAUAUAAUUAUUUUAUAUUUUUACUGAUAAAGAAUUUUCCAAUAUUUAACUUCGUUGGAUCCUAGCGCUUUUAGUUUAGAAGGUAUUCACUAUCACAACGAUUCUAAAGAAGUUUUCACUUCAAUAAUAAAUGAAUUCGGCAUUUAAAAAUACACCACAAGGUUAAAGUUGACUUUGACCAUAAAAUUAAAUGCAAAUUUGAUUAUAUUUAUUCCGGUCAACAGAUAAAUAAAGUCGUGGAAUUAUAUAAUAUUAUUGCGAACAUAAAUCUUAAUCCUGACGGGAUCAGAUUCGUGCCGUAAAAUUGCAAAUCUGCGUUGAUCUUGAAACUUGACCUGGUGACGAAUCUACACAAUAACCACAACCAAAUACAAACAGCUUUCCAUUUAUGCAAUGUUUAUAUUGUUUGUGUUGUACGCUUUUGUAUGGCCCUUGGCCUUUUUAUGUAAAUUAAAAAUGUGUCAUUCAAUGUCACACUAGUUAAAUUCUUCUAUUUAUUUAGUUUUGUUUUUAUUUAUCGAAAUCUUCUAUUAAGUGUGAAAUAGAAGAUUAUUUCUGAUAAACUGUAAUCAAAUCUACAAUUUAAAAUAGCGCAUUGUGUAUUGGCUGUGGUGAUACACUGCAAAUGAAACAAGCAGCAAUUAAAAUAUUAAAUUCGGUUGACUGGCUCCACCGACGCCAUAAUUUGAACCGGUCGUAACCAGUGGCGGAUUAUGCUUCAGUGGGGCCCUAGGCGCAAAUCAAGUUUGGGGCCCCUAAAUCCGAAAAUUUUCAAAAACGGUUAUUAGCCCAGUAAAAUUAAUAGUUUUAGCGUACGGGCGCCGCAAAGUCUACUUCAACAUUCGUUUGUGCCAAAAACUCAUUUCCACACCACCUUAAGAUAGAGUACGUGGCGCGUUUUUUUUUUUUAUCGUGGUAUCCCCAGUUGGCCUAAUCCACACGCACUAUUCCAAAAUUUAAUGGAUUAUCUUCCGAUUCGCCCUUCGCGAUGGACCAGGUGUUGUGCGUUAAUUGUUUUCAGGACCGAUCGAAAUAUCACAGGUAAAAUUUUCUGCCAUACUAUCCGCGAUGGGAUUAUCGUUUUCAAUGCUAUCUUGGUUCUCGAGUUCAUCGUACGUGUGCUCAAAAACGGUAAUCGUAUUUAAAUACAUAUUACAAAUUUACUUUUCUUGCCUUCUCUUGGGCAAAGAUUUCAAUAAUUUUGUCGUACUCUAGUUUUUUAAAAAUAUCAUUUUCUAUGAACAUUAAUGCGAAGUCAUUUAAGUGCUCUUGUGAAAGACUAUUGCGCAGAUAGUUUUUGACUCGUUUUAAAACUGAAAAUGUCCUUUCUCCACUUGCAUUAGAAACGGGCAAGGUCAAAAAAAUUUGCAGUAUUGUGUGUAUAUUUAGAAAAGUUGAUUUUAGACCAUUACUUAAUGUUGCAUACAUUUCAUAUGGAUCUCUAAUAUUUUCUUCUUGUAUGUAUUUUAGAAAAUGAGUUAACUCAUCAGUGAAAUAUUCUGGCUCAAUAUCUUUUUCAUAGUUAGACAAUAAUCGCUGUACACAUCACGCUGUUACGCUGUUAAUACAUCACAUACAAUAUAAAAAAUGUUGACAAUAAAAAAAUUUCUUGACGAAAA